UACAGCCUCCCACAGCCCUGCAGAGAGGUGUGUGGCCAUUAGUCACGUAGGCAAUGCCCCAAACUCCAGGUAUUCGGUGUGGACUCCACCACCACAGUUACCAGGCAGCAGCAAGGUUAAAGAGAAGAGAAAGACACAGAUUUGUGGGAGGUCUCUCAGUGCUCCAGCCAUGACUAUCAGCCAAAUCAAGCAGCCCAUCAAGCAACUGGCCAGACUCUCUCCUCCCCCACGGUAACCUGCCUGAGCUUUCCUUCUACUCUUUUCCCUUCGGCCUCCGGUGCGAGAGUCUGCUCUCAGCUCUUCCUUGACAUACAGCAGCAUCUGGGAUGUCCAAGAGUAAGAACCUGCCGUCCCUGGACUCCAUGCAGCCCAGGGACCCCAGAUCUGGCUCUUUCAUGGCCUCCUGAGGCAUCUAUGGUGGCCAAGAGUCAGAGCCAGACUCCAGCAGGACCGCAGGAACCCCACAUUGCGCCUUUUCCUCACCUCUGGGAGCGGGAUCCUGCAGCUUCUCAGACAGUCCAGUGUCCACCCGGCGGUUCCGUGAGGUCCAUGCAAUCAGACUUCCGGCAUCCCACUUCUCCCAGUGGCCCUAACCCGAAGCGAAUGUGGGACCCCACUUUUUGGUCCCACACAGAUUAUUAAUUAAAAGAGUGAUAUAGUUUGGG